GGCUCCAUGGUCAAGUGGUUAAGACACCGCCCUUUCACGGCGGUAACACGGGUUCAAAUCCCGUUGGAGUCA
rfam:Anaerostipes sp. CAG:276 genomic scaffold, scf24